UCGGCACUGGGAGGGGCUUUCUGACUCUCUCAGCAAACAGGCAGGUUGGUCUCAGCAUGAACCUAACAUAUCUCAUCCUCACUGUCUGCCUGGGCCACCUCCUGGGCACCAUGGGGCAGAUCAUUGUCACCCAGGAAGAUGGACAAGUCCUGGUGAAGGAGAAAGGCUUCUUCCAGACCACCUGUACAUACCAGACCAGUAACUUUUACGGAUUGUGGUGGUACCAGCAGAGGAAAGGACAAGCCCCACAGCUGCUCUCCUCCCAGGCAGGGGCUGGCCAGAGGCAGAGCGGCCGUAUCAGCACGUUGCUGAACACCACGGGCAAAUACAGUGUCUUGCAGGUGGAGGCAGUGGAGGUCUCUGACAGUGCCUUGUACCUGUGUGCUGUGCGAGACACCCUGGUGCAGGGAGCUUCCUGGGCUGUGCAACAAGCCAGGGAGGGAGGGGAUGUGUCUGGGCAAGGCUGAGCUGGGGGCAAGGGACCCACAGGUUACCCCCAUGCUC